CCUACUGGAGGCAUCAUUGAGGCAUCUUGGUCAAUGGGCGCAGGCCUGAACCAGCCAAGUCGCGUGAGGGAAGACUGCCCUAUGGGUUGUAAACCUCUUUUCUCCUUUCCUCCUCAUGACUACGUGUAGUCAGAUGCCCGUACCUUAUGAAUAAGCAUCGGCUAACUCCGUGCCAGCAGCCGCGGUAAUACGGAGGAUGCGAGCGUUAUCCGGAUUUAUUGGGUUUAAAGGGUGCGUAGGCGGUAUUUUAAGUUAGUGGUAAAACGUCGGGGCUUCACCUUGAUUGGCCAUUAAAACUGGAGUACUAGAGUACAGACGAGGUAGGCGGAAUAAGUUAAGUAGCGGUGAAAUGCUUAGAUAUAACUUAGAACCCCGAUAGCGAAGGCAGCUUACCAGACUGUUACUGACGCUGAAGCACGAGAGCGUGGGUAGCGAACAGGAUUAGAUACCCUGGUAGUC
rnacentral:rRNA from 1 species